rnacentral:rRNA from 1 species
GGGCCCGCACAAGCGGUGGAGCAUGUGGUUUAAUUCGAUGCAACGCGAAGAACCUUACCUACCCUUGACAUCCAGAGGACUUUCCAGAGAUGGAUUGGUGCCUUCGGGAACUCUGAGACAGGUGCUGCAUGGCUGUCGUCAGCUCGUGUUGUGAAAUGUUGGGUUAAGUCCCGUAACGAGCGCAACCCCUAUCCUUAUUUGCCAGCGAGUAAUGUCGGGAACUCUAAGGAGACUGCCGGUGACAAACCGGAGGAAGGUGGGGACGACGUCAAGUCAUCAUGGCCCUUACGGGUAGGGCUACACACGUGCUACAAUGGCAAGUACAAAGGGUUGCAAUACGGCGACGUGGAGCCAAUCCCAUAAAGCUUGCCUCAGUCCGGAUUGGAGUCUGCAACUCGACUCCAUGAAGUCGGAAUCGCUAGUAAUCG